rnacentral:misc_RNA from 1 species
UCUCUCUCUCUCUCUCUCUCGCCUCUGCUGGUGAUCAUACAUUGCAUACACAUUAACGAUGCUUCUACGAAGCGCAUCUACGCCAAUACUUAACUCAUGGAUCCCUCACUCCAAAGAAUCCUCACCAGAGCCUGAAAUCUUUCACCAAAUCCACAAAACUCGAUCGCUUGCUUUAACAGCUUCUUGUUCCUGUUCAUUCUCUUCGUCUUCUAUUUCCUCUUAUGAUGAGUCGAUCAAGAAAAUGACCAAAGCCCUCUCUGAGAACGAUCUCAAACACCUUUCGGUGCCGAAGAAGAAACCCGUCAACAAAAUCAUGGACGGGAUCACGCUUGAGGAGGAAGACGAGAAAACGGCGUUGAUGGGUCCUGGUUUGUCUAUGGAAUCUAGUUUGUUAAAUGAGGAGUGCGACGUUAGGACGAAAGAUAAUGGGUUGCUGGGGCUUUUGGUGGCUGGUGGAAUUGGUAGUGGUGGCGGGAAAAUCUGUGGCGGAGGUGGUGGGAAUGGUGGAUCGGACAGCGGAGGUGAUGGCAACUCUGGGUUUUGGGAUUCAAAUAGCGGGAAUGAUAGUACAGAUAUUUAUUAUCAAAAAAUGAUCGAAGCAAAUCCGGGGAAUUCGCUGUUGCUCAGCAAUUAUGCGAAAUUCUUGAAAGAGGUAUACCUGCAAAAGCCUUUUGCUUUCUCAUUCAGCUUUUUGUUUUGGCUUUGGCUGGUUUUUUUUGCUGAAUUGCUUUUAUGCUCCGUUUCGAUCCUGCAGCUAAUUUUAUUGAAAUAGUAAUUGCUUGUAAUGUUCUUGGCAACUGAAUUUUGUAUUGUUUCUAUUCUUCCUUUGUGCUUCUUUGGCACCGUCUUAUGGCGUAAUGGGUUACUGUUUAUCAAUAGAACUUACUUGUUAAGACUUCAGAGAUGUUCUCUAGCUUUUAAGUUUUCUUAUAGCGUUAUGUUAGAGAAUCAACAACUUAUUAUUCAUACAUAUGAAUCUGAUUCACUCUUGCGGUCUGGAUUUGUUACUAAUAAAUUGUUACUGUAUUUGGGAACAGGUUCAAAAAGAUUAUGUAAAGGCUGAAGAGUACUGUGGAAGAGCAAUCUUAGCAAACCCCAAUGAUGAAAACGUUUUAUCUAUGUACGCUGAUUUGAUAUGGCAGAGGCAUAAGGAUGCUUCUCGUGCUGAGACAUAUUUCGAUCAAGCUGUUAAAGCGGCCCCUAAUGAUUGGUGAGAACCCUUUUUGUUUGUGAUGGUUUAGAAAAUUUACGGCCAUUUCUAUUGAUGAUAUAAAUUCUAACAUAGUUUUAGUUUCUAAUUAUUGAUGUCUAAAUAUGUGCAUAGACAACUUACUAUUAAUUUCCAUAAUGGACUUGUUCCUAUUGUCGUAGUUAAUAGCAUUUGUGGAAUAUGUUUUCAUUAAAUCUCAGUAUUGAUUAAACUCUGUUUUGUGGUGCAGUUUUGUGCUAGCAUCAUAUGCUCGGUUUCUAUGGGAUGCUGAAGAAGAAGAUGAGGAGGGGCAAGGAGAAGAGAUGAGUGAAUCAUCACCACCGACUGUGUUUCAUGGAAAGCCACCUCCUUUAGCUGCUGCUUCAUAAAUUUUCUCUGUUAAUUUUGUAUCAUAGCUUGGAUAUAACCUCUGACCUGUGUUCAUAUUUCCUUUCAUUUAGGUUUUUUUCCCCUUGCUGAGAUGAGUUAUUUUAACCAAUUUCUAUAUUUUGCCUAUGGUUGUUGAUCCAUAUCCUGUAGAAAGGAAAAUAAGAAAUGGAAUGAAUCUUUAUUGGGAAACUACUCUCUCUCCGUG